rnacentral:rRNA from 1 species
CAAAACAGUUUGCAACCUGUGCACGCCUCAUCAUGUCUGAGCUCAGAAGCUAAACAGGGAUAGAGCUGGAUGGGAGACCAAUGUGGAUAACAGGUGCUGUUUGGC